CCCUGCCCAUGUAAGGGAGCGGCGGCCAUUGCUCACUCACUUUCCUCGUGGGCUGUUGAUGGAGAAGGAUCUGCGCUGCUGUCAUCAGUGAGUUUAGGCCUGAGCCUUUCGGCGACGGCUGAUAUCUGCUAAAUUAAAGCAGAUCUGUUAUCAGCUACAAGACAAGCUAGGCCUGAAGCCUUCCACUCCAGCCGCAUUCUAAACCGGACAUAGUAAAUAAACAAAGUAAGAAGAGAAUUUAGGACACUGAACCCAGCUUAAUGACAACGUUACUGGAAUGAAUUCUUAUGGUCUCUUGGUGAAGCCUCCAAUGUAUCAGAAGAUCUCCCAAGAACCAAUAUCCAAAGAGAGGACGUCUACAGAUGGCGCUCAUAUGCUAUAAAGUGAAUGUACUGUAUUAUCCCAAACAAACAGGACUAUACAAAAUAAUAAAAAGCGAGGUUUAUGUGUAAAGACAACACAUUUUGAGAGCUUGACCGCUCUCUUCCUCAGGUCCUUAA